UACGGGGGGGGCUAGCGUUGUUCGGAAUUACUGGGCGUAAAGGGCGCGUAGGCGGCCUACUAAGUCGGACGUGAAAUCCCUCGGCUCAACCGGGGAACUGCGUCCGAUACUGGUGGGCUCGAAUCCGGGAGAGGGAUGUGGAAUUCCAGGUGUAGCGGUGAAAUGCGCAGAUAUCAGGAGGAACACCAAUGGCGAAGGCAGCACUCUGGGACGGUACUGACGCUGAGACGCGAAAGCGUGGGGAGCAAACAGG
rnacentral:rRNA from 1 species